ACUAUCCCUAAUGGCUUCACUAGUGUGGCUGCUGUGUCACAUGUGUGUCAAUAGGUGGGAAAUAGUAGAGAGGCUAUGGUAACACUCAGUGUUCUGACCUGUAAGCAUCUGAAUGACUAGUAGCCUAACAUA